AUCAGGCUAUUCAAAUUAUCUGACACCAACGGUAAGCGAACAUCUAUUAUAAUUUUUGCCAUGAAUAUUUAUUUCUAUUUAGAAAUUACUAUGGAUUCAUUACUCAUUAUAUACAAAAAAAUAUGCAUUAAACACUAAAAGUACGGGUCGGCAACGCGGACCGGGCCAGCUAGUAUAAUAUGAAAUGAAAUCAUUAAAAAAUACUUAACUUGAGUUGAAAAAGGAACGACUACUAAAAAAAAGAUUAGUUGAAAUGGAAAUAUGUAACGUUUAUCUGUUAUAUGUCACAAUUUUCGAGUUUUUGCACCACAAAAAUAGUUUUCCAUCUAUUGCAGGUGAAGAGCGCCAGCUGACUAGACAAACCACCGUAGUUUUGACACAAUUACGUUCAGGGCGGUGUAGUCGUCUCAUAUUCAUAUUUUAGCAAUAGAAGCAAAAGUAAUCUUUUGGUAUAAAUAAUGGUGUUAGGAUAUAAGGUAACAGCAAAUAUACAAAAAUUAAAAAAAAAAAUAGUCACUUGCAUUUAUUUUGGUGGAAAAUAAUGGGAAUGACACCUGAAAAAUUAAAUAAUAAAACACAUCUCCACCAAAUAUUUUAAACUUACAGACGUGUUUUAAUUUUUUUAUAAACAUAUUUUAUUGGGAAAAUUCCUUGCUCGUUUUUAAUUUGAAUGAAUUUCACUGUCAAUUCAAAUGUUUAUACAAUAAAUUAAACGGUAGCACAAAGAGAAAUUGUAUGAACUGUGCUUCUUUCGACACACAGACUUUGUCUACUCAAUAAUGUGAUAUGCACGGUGUUAUCCACAAAUGCAAUAUGUCGACGAUGACAGCGAAUUACCCAGCAAGCAAAAACUAUCCCCCAAAUCACUUAGAAGUCACGCCUAAGCGAUAGAAAUCAUCGCGUUUGAUAUCGCAUUCUCACCCCGGAAGUAGCAUCUUUCGGGAAGAAAUUUGGAGUUCUUAAUCACAUUCGAGUCUUUUUUAAUCCGGUAGCGCGAAUUAAAAGCUGGAAUACGCGACUCUUCUAAAUAAAUCACAUCUGAGUUUUCCUCUAGAUUAGUUAACAGCCUGUUCCACGAUGUCGAAAGAACACGUUCGCACAACUUUUACACGACAAACAGCUGAUUUCCGUUCCACUAAAAUCCAUCAGAACGAAAAUUUGCACGAAAAUCAAAGCGAACGAAAACGUAAGCGUUUCAAUGUAAUUUUGCGUUCCACUAUCUUUUUUCUUUCGUACGCAUGCGAACACAAAUGUCAAAAUCAGUCACUUGUGUGUUUGCUGUCGAAUGAUAAAAAUUAAGGAAAAUUGUUUUAACAUAAACAUUCCUUGAUUGAAAAUGGAAAGAAAAAUCACGAAAAAACUACACAGCUGCGGGCACUAGUUGAGUAUAUGGGGGAGAAUCCUAAGUUCGCCAGAGGAGUGCCAAUUUUCGGAAGCAGCAGGCAAUCCCAUGAAGACCACUGGAAGACACAAACCUAGAAAAAAUCAUUUUUUUAUUAUUUCAAAAAUGUAAAAAUACAAUCAUACUUACUGGUUGUUAGGUACUUCAAAUAAAUUCGAAGCAUCUCUUAAA